rnacentral:piRNA from 1 species
UCCCAUCACAGGAUCUGGCGCGAUGC